rnacentral:ncRNA from 1 species
GGACCUAGCCCGUGCAACGCGGCCUCUGCCCGAAUUGGCCCUGGCGUACUUCCCCAACGCCAGGUCCGUUGAUUCGGACAGAGACCCCGGUGCAGGGGCGGUCCAGUGCG